rnacentral:rRNA from 1 species
ACGGGAGUAGCAAUACUCCAGUGGCGGACGGGUGAGUAACGCGUGAGAAUCUGCCUUCUGGUCGGGGACAACCACUGGAAACGGUGGCUAAUACCGGAUGAGCCGAAGGGUAGAAGAUUAAUUGCCAGAAGAGGAGCUCGCGUCUGAUUAGCUAGUUGGUAGGGUAAAAGCCUACCAAGGCAUCGAUCAGUAGCUGGUCUGAGAGGACGAUCAGCCACACUGGGACUGAGACACGGCCCAGACUCCUACGGGAGGCAGCAGUGGGGAAUUUUCCGCAAUGGGCGAAAGCCUGACGGAGCAAGACCGCGUGAGGGAAGAAGGCUCUUGGGUCGUAAACCUCUUUUGUUAGGGAAGAACACAAUGACGGUACCUAACGAAUCAGCCUCGGCUAACUCCGUGCCAGCAGCCGCGGUAAUACGGAGGAGGCAAGCGUUAUCCGGAAUUAUUGGGCGUAAAGCGUCCGCAGGUGGCGAUUCAAGUCUGCGGUCAAAGACUGGGGCUUAACCCUGGAAAGGCCGUGGAAACUGAAGAGCUAGAGUGCAGUAGGGGUAGAGGGAAUUCCCGGUGUAGCGGUGAAAUGCGUAGAGCUCGGGAAGAACAUCGGUGGCGAAAGCGCUCUGCUGGACUGCAACUGACACUCAGGGACGAAAGCUAGGGGAGCGAAUGGGAUUAGAUACCCCAGUAGUCCUAGCCGUA